rnacentral:rRNA from 1 species
UACGGAGGAUCCGAGCGUUAUCCGGAUUUAUUGGGUUUAAAGGGUGCGUAGGCGGCCAUUUAAGUCAGCGGUGAAAUUUUGCAGCUUAACUGUAACAGUGCCGUUGAUACUGUUUGGCUAGGAUUUGGUUGUAGUGUGCGGAAUGUGUGGUGUAGCGGUGAAAUGCUUAGAUAUCACACAGAACACCGAUUGCGAAGGCAGAACACUAAGUCAUUAUUGACGCUGAGGCACGAAAGUGUGGGGAUCAAACAGGAUUAGAUACCCCGGUA